GGCCAUAGCUCAAUGGUAGAGCAUCUGCUUUGUAUGAAGAAGGUCCCGGGUUCAAACCCCAGAAGCACCA